rnacentral:rRNA from 1 species
AAUAGAUACCCCGGUAGUCCAUGCCGUAAACGUUGGGCACUAGGUGUGGGGCUCAUUCCACGAGUUCCGUGCCGCAGCAAACGCAUUAAGUGCCCCGCCUGGGGAGUACGGCCGCAAGGCUAAAACUCAAAGGAAUUGACGGGGGCCCGCACAAGCGGCGGAGCAUGCGGAUUAAUUCGAUGCAACGCGAAGAACCUUACCAAGGCUUGACAUGCACGGGAAGCCACCAGAGAUGGUGGUCUCUUUGGACACUCGUGCACAGGUGGUGCAUGGUUGUCGUCAGCUCGUGUCGUGAGAUGUUGGGUUAAGUCCCGCAACGAGCGCAACCCUGUCCCAUGUUGCCAGCGGGUUAUGCCGGGGACUCAUGGGAGACUGCCGGGGUCAACUCGGAGGAAGGUGGGGAUGACGUCAAUCAUCAUGCCCCUUAUGUCUUGGGCUUCACGCAUGCUACAAUGGCCGGUACAAAGGGCUGCGAUACCGUAAGGUGAGCGAAUCCCAAAAGCCGGUCUCAGUUCGGAUUGGGU